GGACGACGCUGGCGGCGUGCCUAACACAUGCAAGUCGAGCGGAGUUACAAGAGAAGUUUCGGAUGGAAUUUGUAAUUAGCGGCGGACGGGUGAGUAACGCGUGAGCGACCAACCUUGCACAGGGGGAUAACGGACCGAAAGGUUCACUAAUACCGCAUGAGACCACGGUGUUGCAUGACACAGAGGUCAAAGGAGCAAUCCGGUGCAAGACGGGCUCGCGUCCGAUUAGGUAGUUGGUGGGGUAAUGGGCCCACCAAGCCUAUGAUCGGUAGCCGACCUGAGAGGGUGAUCGGCCACAUUGGAACUGAGAUACGGUCCAAACUCCUACGGGAGGCAGCAGUGGGGAAUAUUGGGCCAAUGGGGGAAACCCUGACCCAGCAACGCCGCGUGAAGGAAGAAGGUUUUCGGAUUGUAAACUUCUGUCCUUGGUGAAGAGAAGAAGACGGUAGCCAAGGAGGAAGCCCCGGCUAACUACGUGCCAGCCGCCGC
rnacentral:rRNA from 1 species